rnacentral:rRNA from 1 species
GACGAACGCUGGCGGCGCGCUUAACACAUGCAAGUCGAGCGAGAACCUGCCCUUCGGGGCAGGGGAAAGCGGCGAACGGGUGAGUAACACGUGAGUAAUCUGCCCCCGACAUCGGGAUAGCCCGGGGAAACCCGGAUUAAUACCGGAUAGCCUCGCGAGCCCGCGGGUUCGCGAGAAAAGGUAGCUUCGGCCUCCGGUCGGGGAGGAGCUUGCGGCGGAUUAGCUUGUUGGUGGGGUAACGGCCUACCAAGGCGACGAUCCGUAGCUGGUCUGAGAG